GUAUUCACUUUACCCAUCUCAAGACACCAUUAUCCCCCCUUCUUUCAUUUUUCUUAAAUUCAAAUUUUGAAUUCACUUCACUCUACUCAUCUUUCUUUUAAUAACCAUAAACCCUAAACUCCAUAGGUGAACUUCGACUAAUAUCUCCUAGCAGAGUAUUGCUCUUCUCCUAGCUGCUCUCCCUCCUUUCCCCUUCCACUUUUCAUAAUAACAAAAAGCCCUAAACUCCAUGGGUGAACUCCGACUAAUCUCCGUCAGCGACGCUCUCGGUGGUGGCACAGUUUAUGGUUACAAGGGUUGUAUGCACUAUGAAGGUGAAACACGAAGGUGUAGCUUUCCAUCAUCACUCUGUCUGCAAUCCUUCUCUUCACGAACCUUAAAUCAGACCGCGGAACCUGAAGGAGCAUUCAUGUUAUGGCCAAUUUUUUUCACAUGCUUGAAAUUUUCAAUUCCUAUGAUUUUGUUUUUUGGUUUGUUAGGUUAUUAACUUGAGCGCAAUAAUAUAAUUCAUAACUGAGUUAAGGGUUAGUUUUGUUAAAAAUAUGUUGACAAUGAGUUCGAUAAAUCUUUGGAAUGCUUAAUAGGAUAAUGAUUUAAAUGUCUGCAUAUUGUUUUUGAUGAAUGGUCUUACUUUAUUAUUUUGAUAUUUUAUAUGAUUUAGUUUACACAUAUAAUAAAUGAACCUGUUAUAUGCUUUUAAUUAAUGAAUUAUUAUAUUGAGUUUAGUAAACUAUAUGCUUGAUGAACCUACAAUAUGUUAUUUUAUAUGAUUUUGAUGACAAUGAGUUUAAUAAAUGUUUGGAAUGUUUGAUCAACGGUUUAUUAUAUUAAGUUCAUAUUAUAAUCAUGAGUGAAUAUAUUAGAGAAUCAAAAUAUAAUGAAUUUGAUGAUUUGUUAUCUAACGAAACCAUAUGAACCUUUAGCGUAUUCUUGGUAUGGGUGUUUUUAAUCGAGUAAAAACUGUUUUUUGUCAAAGUCAAAAGAAAAGGAAGAGUUAAUGUUUGGAAAAAAAAUAUGGCCGGUCACUCUUGCAGAUCUUUAACAUCCAGAACUUGCUAUAAUUUGUUAUUUAAAAAGACAUGUUUGUAACAACAAUCUGCUGAACAUGCUACUAUCUGACAAUUUAAUUGAGGUAUUCUAUGUUUUUUAUUGUCAAUCUGUUUAUACACAUAUAGUUAUCGAAUAUGACCUGAUUUUUAACGAUUGUUUUCUAGAUCCGAUUAAUAGCGUUUUUAACGAUUUUAUGUGAUGAAUUGUGUAGUUGUUAAGUUUGAUCUAUUUUCGAUAAGGUUAGGUUUCAAAGGAUUGAUUCGAAGGUAGAGCUUGCUGUUAUAAGUGUUAAUUACAGUUAGUCAAAUCUUAUGGUCGUUUUUAGGUUAGAUUUUUUGUUAAAUCAAGCUAAUAUAGGUUGUUAAUUAUGAAUCAAGGUACUGAGUUACAGUUUCGUUGUUCGUUCGGUCGUCAAUGCUGGAGUUGUUGUGAUGGACUUUUGAGGUGAUUAAAGAAAUUAGUAGAGCUUGACAUUAGUUUUGAUCGAGAACUUGGAACUAAACAUGACGCAGAGGAGUUUGUAAGCAAGGAGUCCAACCAGUCGGGUUCACAAUUUCUGUUGUGUGGGAAGAUGAUUGAUCACUGAUAAUGAUUAUAACUCUCCAAAAAACAAGAUCAACUAGCAUAUCACAGAUCUUCUGAUCCUGUUUCAACAUUCACUACUAGAAAAUAAGCCUAAUGCAACCUUUUAGAAGCAACCUUUUUCAAAAGAGUUGCAUUUGACCCUAAUGCAACUUCAUUGGACAUAAAGGUUGCAUUAGAAGAUCUAAUGCAACCAUUUUCAUAAAAGGUUGCAAAAUUACUUGAAUUUGCAACCUUUUUCUUACAAGGUUACCAAUUUUAUUGAAAAUUGCAACUUUUAUUAGAAGGGUUGCAUUGUUAAUCUUAUUGUAAAAGAUUAUAUUCAGAGGCGGAUCUAGAAAUUUUUUUCCUGGCGGUGCGGAGUAUUUAUAAAGAUUUUAAGCCCCUAGCUAUUUAAAAAAAAUCGGUUCAUAGCGGGUCGGAUCGGGUCGGGUCAUGUAAGACAAAAGAACAUCAAAAUAAAAUUUAUAUAAUCAUAAAAAACACGUCAAACGUCAUUAUAAACGUAUUUAAAAUUGUGCACUACAAGUUUUCAUUUUUUGAAAUCUAUUUAAAACAUCAUCUAAAGAUACUAAACACUCCAUAGGUUCAUUACAUUCUUACUCGUGGUUCCUUUUACAUAUAAAUCAUUCCAUAAGUUCAUAAAACAUGUUGGUGCAUUCAUCUGUCGUCUUCGUCUUAUGUCGAGUCUCGGGUUCGUUGCAGAUCUGAACAAGCAUGACAUCACAAGUGACAUCACAUAGGUGACAUCACAAGUGACAUCACCAGGUGACAUCACAAGUGAUGUCAUGAAAUAGGAAAUUGAAUGGUGACCGUUUGUAGACUUGACCGUUUGAAAGGUCCAAUGAGAUGGUUCUGUUUGAAGUGACUUUCGCUUGAAUGGGUUUUAGAUAGGUUUCGCUUGAAAGUCAAAUAUGAGGUUUCGCUUGAACUCUUUCUGUCAUAUUCAAGCGAAAGCAUGUUUAGUAUAAAUAGGGUGAUUGUCAUUUCAUUUGUAACAGAAUUUGCAGAGUGAUACCGAGGU